CUAUUUCAUGUCGGCAUGACGAUGGCAUCGUAUCUUAUCUUAGAGAAUGCAUAGAUUUUCAAUUUUCAGUUAAUGGUUAUGUGUGUAUCGAUCAAAGAUAUUAAAAGCGAACAUCCACUUGUUGACACACAAAGAAAAAGAAGCGAACAUCCAAUUUAUACAUUUAUUAGAAUAUCUAAACCAAUCUAAACUUUGAUAUGAUGAUACAAUCUCAUGCACGCUCUUCGAAGACUAGCUAUUUAUUGUUCUUAUCAACCUCCACUACCACUUGGAGAAAGCUCCCAUGCUUAUGCAGGAUAACUCUUUUAUGUCCCAUAACACCCACGCAUAGAGAUAGCAAUUUGCUAACCUGGGCUGCAGACUUGGCACGUAAAAGAUUUCUCUGGGGUGGAUUUGAGCCGGCAUUUUGUAGGCUCGAAAAGAAGGGGACCUCGCGAGUAAGUGUCCCGCAGUAUUAGGCUUUCGGUGGGAUGGACUUCACUUGGACCUACGGUAUAAGUAAAGGACUUCACUUGGACCCGCAGGAUAAUGAUGCCAACCUGUUUUAUCAAACUUAUAUUGUAGAUGCAUCCAUUGAUUGGCAACAUGACCUUGAGCUUUCGCAAUUAUUACAUCGUUUAGGAAAAUGUUUUCUUAAAUAUCAAUUUAUUCAUAUUUUUCAAAAUUAACCUAAAAAUCUAUGGUAAUAAUGUAACAUCCAUUUUCACAUUAAAGAGGAGAAUUAGAUCAUAGUUAGUGAAUGACCUAGAGAAACGAGGCACACUUAUCAAGGUAGCCGCUAUCGACCCCAAUUCAUGAUGGUUCUUUUGGACUCCAUCAUCGUCAAUUUGCCUCCUAUUUAAGCAGGUCGUCUCCUCUUUCUUGGAACUCCAAGUGCCCCUGAAGAACCGUUACUCACUUUCUGCCAGAUCUUUGUCUUACCAGCGAGAUCCCCUCUCCCUAAUCUCGAUUCCUCAUGGUUGAUGAGUUCUUGAUGACCACAACUCCUUUCUCUGGGGUAGCGCCACCAGAUCUAUCAAGUGUGCUAGCAUCUUCUGCUUAUCGUCAUGUUCUGACUUUUCACCAAAUCUCCUCCAUUCUAUGGAGCCUCCCGAUCCGAGAUCCGGCAUAUCAACCCUUCCCUACCCAAUUCGUAUCUUCUUCUCCAAAUUUGCUACUGGUCUCCCAUCCCCUUGCUCUGGCGACCCUGCUAGUGGAGUUCUGAAGCCACUUUGCCAUCCAAUCGUAACACUCACAGUUUCCUCCCUUCAUCCUGACGAUCUCAAAUAUGCCGGUGAUGUCAACAACAUAAGUAGGCCAAAAAGUUAAUAUAGUGGGCUUUGCCAUUAGUUCUGCCCACAAAUUUGUAGGCCAACAAAUUUCAGAUCAAUAAUGUUCAAUCUUGGCGUCAGUUUUGGCUUUGCCAUUAGUUCUACAUCAUUAUUGGUGUUUCUGGCGCACUUGGCACAAUUUUUUUGACGUUGGAUAUGCUAAUUUUAGCAACUUUCUCUUAUUGGGAGAAAUCAUUACACACAACCCUUUAAACUUGUCCUUGUUGGAUAAAUUUAGUCAAAUUUCCUUUCGCUAGACGCAAGAGGUAUGCUUCUCCACUUCCUCUUUUUCAAAAGAGAAAUAUUCCACCAAAAUUCCUCUUUGAAAGAGGUGAUAUCUUUCAUUAUUCAGUCUAAAUUAUUUGUUUCUUAACUGCUUGUUAUCUUAGGUGUAGGUCCACUUGGGGUCAGUAGAUGCAAUGAUUCUCAUCCAGGUGAGAAUCGAAGUUGUAGAUGGUGUUGUGACAUCAUAGGUUAUAGUGAUCUGUUAUUUGAAAAACUUGAAGUGUGGUUUAAGUAUUUUAUAGAUUAGAUCGCAGUUGACAACUUUAAAAAUCUUGCAUGGAAUUUUAUCAAAUUUCCAUAUGUUUGCGGCUCUAUCCUUGUUUUUAGUUAACUUAUUUGUCUGGGAUUUAGUCUUUAUGCUUACACAUCUUGUUUUGUACGAUUUUCUACUGUUCAUGUAGUUGUUUAAAUAUAUUAUUGAAGAUUUUGUGUA